GCCAAAAACCUAGCCCAACAGUUUCAAAUGCUACAAAACCAACACACCCCUUCCUAAUAAACCAUUUUAAUGUUCUAGUAAAGGAGAUUGAAAAAUUAAUUGGAGCUAUAACGAUAGUACCGCAAGGGAAUGAUGAAAUAUAUAAUGAAAAAUUUUCAAGCAACAAACAGUAAAGACUACCCCUUGUACCUUUUGCAUCAUGGUUUAACUAGUCUAAUCAAGCAAAAUGCAUUUAAGUUUGACUUCCCGAAACUAAGUGAGCUACUUCAGGGCAGCUAGAAGAGCGAACCCGUCUCUGUAGCAAAAGAGUGGGACGACCCUCAAGUAGCGGUGACAGACCUAACGAACUUAGUGAUAGCUGGUUACUCAAGAAAUGGAUUUAAGUCCCGCCUGAAACCCUACCCCAGUUUACCAAAACAAUCAACUAACUUUCAGCGUAAUUCAAAUAAGGUACAGCCUAUUUGAAACAGGAUACAACCUAGACUAAUGGAUAAGAUUAGCCCAGCAUACAACCAAGUGGGCCUAAAAGCAGCCAUCUUCAAAAUUGCGUCAAAGCUUAGUUGUUCUCACGCCUAAUAUCUUAAUUUUUAUCUUAAUCCUUAAUCAGUACUGAGUAAUUCUAUAAUUUUAUAGAACAUUUUAUGUUAAAACUAGUAACAAGAAGAAGACCCUUCUCUUAAAUGUAAGUGUAAAUCAGAAAGGACUAACCACUGAUAAUUAACACCCCUGAACUCAAAGUAGUAACUAACCAAGAGAAUCCUACUUUAAUUAAUGUUAACUUAACACAAAGACAUUUUAAGAAAGAUUAAAAGAAAAAGAAGGAACUCGGCAAAUAUUAACCUCGCCUGUUUACCAAAAACAUCGCCUCUUGACCCCCAUAAGAGGUCCAGCCUGCCCAGUGACUCUGUUCAACGGCCGCGGUAUCCUAACCGUGCGAAGGUAGCGUAAUCACUUGUUCUUUAAAUGUGGACUAGUAUGAAUGGCACCACGAAGGUUAUACUGUCUCCUUUUUCCAAUCAGUGAAACUAAUCUCCCCGUGAAGAAGCGGGGAUGAAACUAUAAGACGAGAAGACCCUAUGGAGCUUUAAACAAUAUAGCACUUGCCACAAAAAGUAAAAAUUUCCUAAUUACUAAAUUUUCAAAGCAACAUGACUAUGAGUUUUUGGUUGGGGUGACCGCGGAGCAUAAUACAACCUCCAUGCUGGAAGAAUCUUUUUCUAAGCUAAGAACUACUCAUCUAAGCAUCAACAUAUUGACAUCCAUUGACCCAAUACACUUGAACAACGAACCAAGUUACCCUAGGGAUAACAGCGCAAUCCACUUCAAGAGCUCCUAUCGACAAGUGGGUUUACGACCUCGAUGUUGGAUCAGGGUUCCCCAGUGGUGCAGCCGCUACUAACGGUUCGUUUGUUCAACGAUUAAAACCCUACGUGAUCUGAGUUCAGACCGGAGUAAUCCAGGUCAGUUUCUAUCUAUACAUGAGUUUCUUCUAGUACGAAAGGACCGAAGAAACGUGGCCUAUAUUUUCACAAGCCACUGCUACUAAACUAUGACAUAAACUUAAUAGUAUAAUAGCCUGUAACCUCGCUCUAGAUAAGAGCU
rnacentral:rRNA from 1 species